UUUUUUUUUCGUUGUCAGCUGUUUUUAUCAAAUUGCCGGCCUUUAUUCCAGUAAACACUUUAUAAAAAAAGUUUCAACAGUUGGAUUUAAAAUGUCAUCAUUGUAUGGAGUAGUGCUUAACAAGUGGUACAGCUCUAAGGAAGUGAACA
rnacentral:lncRNA from 1 species